AUCCAGCUGACGAAUCGCAAAUAAGACGAAAGGUACGUCCUGGAU
rfam:Schistosoma rodhaini strain Burundi genome assembly, scaffold: SROB_scaffold0000361